rnacentral:rRNA from 2 species
UACGUAGGGGGCAAGCGUUGUUCGGAAUUACUGGGCGUAAAGGGCGCGUAGGCGGCACGGCAAGUCGGGAGUGAAAGGCCUGGGCUCAACCGAGGAACUGCUUUCGAGACUGCCGAGCUAGAGUGCGGAAGGGGCAACUGGAAUUCCCAGUGUAGCGGUGAAAUGCGUAGAUAUUGGGAAGAACACCUGAGGCGAAGGCGGGUUGCUGGGCCGACACUGACGCUGAGGCGCGAAAGCCAGGGGAGCAAACGGG